CAUUGAGCCUUGAUGUGUAGGAUAGGUGGGAGGCUUUGAAGUGUGGACGCCAGUCUGCAUGGAGCCGACCUUGAAAUACCACCCUUUAAUGUUUGAUGUUCUAACGUUGACCCGUGAUCCGGGUUGCGGACAGUGUCUGGUGGGUAGUUUGACUGGGGCGGUCUCCUCCUAAAGAGUAACGGAGGAGCACGAAGGUUGGCUAAUCCUGGUCGGACAUCAGGAGGUUAGUGCAAUGGCAUAAGCCAGCUUGACUGCGAGCGUGACGGCGCGAGCAGGUGCGAAAGCAGGUCAUAGUGAUCCGGUGGUUCUGAAUGGAAGGGCCAUCGCUCAACGGAUAAAAGGUACUCCGGGGAUAACAGGCUGAUACCGCCCAAGAGUUCAUAUCGACGGCGGUGUUUGGCACCUCGAUGUCGGCUCAUCACAUCCUGGGGCUGAAGUAGGUCCCAAGGGUAUGGCUGUUCGCCAUUUAAAGUGGUACGCGAGCUGGGUUUAGAACGUCGUGAGACAGUUCGGUCCCUAUCUGCCGUGGGCGCUGGAGAACUGAGGGGGGCUGCUCCUAGUACGAGAGGACCGGAGUGGACGCAUCACUGGUGUUCGGGUUGUCAUGCCAAUGGCACUGCCCGGUAGCUAAAUGCGGAAGAGAUAAGUGCUGAAAGCAUCUAAGCACGAAACUUGCC
rnacentral:rRNA from 1 species